rfam:Novosphingobium subterraneum strain DSM 12447 NJ75_contig000013, whole genome shotgun sequence.
GACGGACCCGGAUUGAUUCGGGUGGCUCGGCCCGGCGCCUAUCCCCGGGAUAACC